AGCGUACCGGAAGGUGCGCUUGGUAA
rnacentral:rRNA from 1 species